AGGACUUAUCAAACUGGUUUCAAAGCACAGAGCUCAAGUAAUUUACACCAGAAAUACCAAGGGCGGAGAUGCUCCAGCUGCUGGUGAAGAUGCAUGAAUAGGUCCAACCAAUUGUACAUUUGGAAAAAUAAAACUUUAUUAAA